AAAAAAGCAGGGGCCUGGGACUUUUAUAGCCUUGCCUCUCGUAUACUUCAGGGAAACUGAUUUGUGCAUUGAUAUUGGGUGAAUCCCUUGAGUAGUCACUGAUAGAAAGGUUCAGUAAUCGAUGCUACAAUU